rnacentral:rRNA from 1 species
UACGGAGGAUUCGAGCGUUAUCCGGAUUUAUUGGGUUUAAAGGGUGCGUAGGCUGUCGGAUAAGUUAGAGGUCAAAUGUCGGGGCUUAACCCCGUGCCUGCCUCUGAUACUGUUCGACUGGAGAGCGGAUGCAGCAGGCGGAAUGAGUAGUGUAGCGGUGAAAUGCUUAGAUAUUACUCAGAACACCGAUUGCGAAGGCAGCAUACCGGCGCUCAACUGACGCUCAUGCACGAAAGCGUGGGUAUCGAACAGG